rnacentral:rRNA from 1 species
GACGAACGCUGGCGGCGUGCUUAACACAUGCAAGUCGAACGAUGAAGCCGAAGCUUGCUCCGGUGAAUUAGUGGCGAACGGGUGAGUAACACGUGAGUAACCUGCCCUUGACUCUGGGAUAACUGCGGGAAACUGUAGCUAAUACCGGAUACGACCCUCGGAGGCAUCUCCUGGGGGUGGAAAGAAUUUCGGUCAAGGAUGGACUCGCGGCCUAUCAGCUAGUUGGUGAGGUAAAGGCUCACCAAGGCGACGACGGGUAGCCGGCCUGAGAGGGUGACCGGCCACACUGGGACUGAGACACGGCCCAGACUCCUACGGGAGGCAGCAGUGGGGAAUAUUGCACAAUGGGCGCAAGCCUGAUGCAGCAACGCCGCGUGAGGGAUGACGGCCUUCGGGUUGUAAACCUCUUUUAGCAGGGAAGAAGCGAAAGUGACGGUACCUGCAGAAAAAGCACCGGCUAACUACGUGCCAGCCGCCGCGGUAA